GGAUCGGUAGCUCAAUGGCGAGAGCGCCUGCCUCUUAAGCAGGAAGCUGUGGGUUCGAGCCCCACCCGAUCCACCA
rnacentral:tRNA from 1 species